UUCUGUGUCAGAUCGAAAAAAUGAAGUUUUGAAUGGGUUUCAAUGGCUCCAAGCCCAGGUUGUCCACCAGCAGCGGUAGAUCACCCUUACUGUGGCUAGUUUAGAUGAGAUGACAUGACCCUAGCUAGCAUAACAUAAAUGGCAGCUAGCUCUACACUAUUUCGGGCAUUCGUUAACAAUCAGUGUUCAGAUAACUAGCGCAAACGUGCCGAGAUAUCUUGUUUAUUAUAAAAAUAAACGCUUGUGUUGUGCCAUGGCUUAUAUGGUGAUGACGUUUGAGAUUGUAAAUUUACGGGCCACAGAUGUGUCUAUGGUAAGGCCGACCUGACGAGAUAGCUGCCUACUGAGGUUUGGAUAUGGACAUUGUUUAUUUCAGAAGGAAAAUGUUUGGAGUGGAAUUGUUUGGAAGACAAUCUUGGGACAAUUUUGCUCUUUGGGUCUUUGUGCCAACCAUGCCAGCUAUCGUAGGGUGCUCUGGGAACUUCUUAGAUCUGUUUACUGUAUGUACACUUACUGAAAUAAGCAUUUUGUUUACAUAAAAUCCCUUGUCAUUUCACCACUAGGUUUGAAACCCAGACAGCACGAAGCAUCUUGCCGACGUCAAAAUCAGAUCAACAGACAGGGACAUCAGCCUUCUCUUGGGAAUAGGCCAGAUAUGCCAUAACAAGAAAUGGUGUGUUGCCCCUGCGGUUGUGAAGAGGAUGCUGUGGAGGUGGCAGCAUGAACGUGUCACACAGACAUUGGCUAAACUACUCGGCUUCUACACUUGCCCC